rnacentral:rRNA from 1 species
UACGAAGGGGGCUAGCGUUGUUCGGAAUUACUGGGCGUAAAGCGCACGUAGGCGGAUAUUUAAGUCAGGGGUGAAAUCCCAGAGCUCAACUCUGGAACUGCCUUUGAUACUGGGUAUCUCGAGUAUGGAAGAGGUGAGUGGAAUUCCGAGUGUAGAGGUGAAAUUCUUAGAUAUUCGGAGGAACACCAGUGGCGAAGGCGGCUCACUGGUCCAUUACUGACGCUGAGGUGCGAAAGCGUGGGGAGCAAACAGG